CCAGUAUUAUAUAAUUCACAUUCUACUAUUCACUAUUCACUAUUAUAUAAUUCAACUAUUUAAAUUAGGAAAUUGCUGCUAUCAUGAAAUUACCUUGUUUUCAAUUUGGCUCAUUUUCUUUUGAAUUUGUGCACUUCUGCAAUUCUGAAUUUGUGUACUAUUUAUAAGAAAUGCUUGAUUACAAGUAAAGCAAGUUGAUUCUGUCUAGUUAGGGCAAAACAUGCAUCUUUUUUACCCUCAUCAAAAGCUUCUUUUGGGCAUUUCAUUAGGGGAAGGGGAGUAGUGACAAAUCUGGAGUGAGUGCUAUCUAGCAGCAUCAAAUUUGCACCAAUAGGACUAAUAAAUAUGCUCAAUAAGGUGUAAUUCAAGAAGUGGAAUAUGUUGAGGGUGUUGCUAUGCUCAAGGUUAAGAGUGAUGGCCAAUUUUCGGCUUACUCAAGUGAACCUCCAAAGAAGUUCCAAGUGAAUGGUUCUGAUGUGGAUCUUGAGUGGCUUCCUAACGGCAAAUUGAUGUACCUUUCUUGGAUUCAAGAGGAUAGAUCAUGGUGUUUCUGAUUUAGCAAUUUUCUUCUAGUUUUUAUUUUAUAGGAUUUUGGAGUGGAGUUUCUUAUUUUUGAAGUCCUAAUUUUUCAUUUUUAGCUUAGUCUUGAAUUCUAGUUUUGCAUAAUAAUCAAUAUUGUUCAUAGUUUGGGAUUGGUGUUAUAUUAAAACCAUUCUCUUAUGUUUUUAUUUUUAAUUGCUUAAUAUAAAUUAUACUUUCUGUUUUCUUAUCAGCUUAUUUUCACAUUAUUUCUGCAUUUGUUUCUUUCUUCACAUGAAUUGAACAGUAAAAUUGAACUCAAUAAAACUGCAAUGUUUGAUCUCAAUAAAACUGCAAUGUUUGAUUUAGAAAUUCUUUUUCCUAACAGUAUAUUUUAGUAUCAAAUUUUCAAUUAAGGCGCACAUACUUUUCCUUUUUAUUUCCUCCUUAUAAUAUCUCCUCCUUACAACUACUGAUCAUAGAGCUGGGAAAUUUGAAGCCAAAUUCUUUGAUAAGAUUCUUCAAGAAGAAAUUGGUGAUGUUAAAGGGAAUUUUGGACCAAUUAAUGCAUUAGCCUUUAACCCUGAUGGGAAAAGUUUUUCAAGUGGAGGUGAAGACGGUUAUGUACGGUUGCAUCACUUUGACCCGGAUUAUUUCAAUAUCAAAAUAUAGGCUUCAUGAGAGUAAUUUUUUAUAUUGGCUGCGGAUAGUAGAAUUUAGCCUUCAAUUGCUUUCAUAGCAAUUAAAAUGGCAAUGUGGUUUCGAAAGCCCAUCCAUUGUAAUGAAGAUAUACUUUAAAUUUUGAUCCAUGUUUUGAUUAUUACACUAAAAUUAAGAGUUAUGAAAAAAUCUUGUGCAA